UGCUAGCUUGUCAUUCUCAGCUUAGGCUCAUAUUUCCAUUCUUGGAUCUUUGGAUUUUGGAUUUAUCUGACUGACUUGAUGUGUAUGGCCCCUGAACUAGUUUCUAUUAAGAAGUGACUCCCUUCCUCUUGCUGAUUUCUUUGAAACACAUGCAGUAAUUGAGACAUGCAGCUGACAGCCAGUCAGCUCUGCCAGGCCGAAGCUACGGUCUAAACCACAGGCUGUGAGGUGGAGGUGUGAGCUAACAACCGCAGAGGGGAGUUUCAGUCACCAACAUCCUCCAGAAAGUGGAAACUCAACCUGACUGGUUCACCAGAGAGGGCUCUUUAGUUAUUUAGAAGCUCUCAAACUGAGCUCCUCAAAAGCAAAUCAAAUAUUUCUAAGAGAAAUAUCUGUCAGAAAUGUUUGAAUAACUGGAGUAACAAAAGAGAGACCUUUACUCUCUGGAAAAUAUUCACAUUAAAUAACUCGGGUUCUCAAAUACUGACGCUGUUCUCUGCAGCUGUCAAUUAGUUGACUUUGGUUGGAAUCUGCAGACCAACACGAGGUCGUGAUUAAUAAACAGACAUUCUGGUGUGUGCUGAAAUCCUGUGGAUGUCCCGAAUAUGCAACAUUUUAGUCGUUUAAAUGUGUGUUUUACAGCAGACUAGGAAUUAUAUGGAGGAUAAUUAGAGA